UCAUAUGGAUGGUUUGUACAAGAAGCUAUUGCUGUCAUGUAUGAAUGUAGCCACCAAUCUUCAUAUGAGGGAAUAAAGUUUAAUUAUUAGUUUGGUUUGCUAAGUAUUGAAAUGGAUCUACCCAGCAUUUGUCGUCCUUUACAGCGUUUUUCCAUCUAUCCCGGAAGAUCUGCAUUUCAAAGUAGGACUGUCUUCUUACCUCUACUCUGUUAUCAACUACAUGGGACUCCGAUGGCUCAGCAAAA
rnacentral:misc_RNA from 1 species